AUGGCCGCCGCCGCAUCCCACGACGUUGACUUGGGAGACCUCGUGAGCUUCGGCCGCACGCUCCUCCACCAUGGCCUAGUCAUCGCCGACGCCGACCACGACUCUGCGGACGUCGACACCUUCAAGCUCCUCCUCGCCGACAACACCGUCGUGUACAAGAACGCCGGUGACCUCAGGGUGGUUGACAGGAGCCACCUGCGCCCCGGCGAGGUGGUCGGCUCGGUGUCCGACGAUGACGGCCAGCUCGGCAUCGUCACCGGCAUCACCACCGUGCUCGACCUUGCCAAGCACGACGCGGUGACACAUGUAAUCACGGGCGUGUCCCCGUCUACCCUCCGCCGUGUAAGGAGCUUCAACCUCUGCGACUUCGUCGUGUCGGGGCCGUGGCUCGGCCAGGUCGUCGAGGUGUCCAUCGAUGUGCAUGUGCUAUUCAAUGACGGGGCGGUCUGUAGGGUCAGCAACGCAGACUCCAAGAAGCUACAACUAGUGGACGACACCGGCGCCGGCAGCAACACCAUGUAUCGCCAUCAAAUGAACACUCUCUUCAACCCCGGGGAGCACGUCACCGCACCAGACCCGUGCUCCGUCUUCAAGGCGGCACGCUGGCUUAACGGCUCCUGGAAUCCUGACCAUCAGAUAGGCACUGUCAGCAAGGUGGAGAUGUCCGGCGUCCUUGUCUACUGGAUUGCAUCUAUGCAUCAUGGCACAGACAAGGGGCUCGUCAAGGCAUCCGCCCCUUCCGCCUACCAGAACCCGGAUGAUCUUACUUUCUUCUGUGCCACGUCCAAUUGUCGUUGGGGGGUAGCUGACCGCUGCUUUUUCCGCAAGGACAAUGCGGCCCAUGAUGAAUGUGAAACACCAACUGCUCAGGCGAAGGUGGAGAUUCCUAUGGUCGUCGCCAACACCCGUACCUCUGUCGACGUGCUGUGGCAGGACGGCACACGACAACAUGGCAUAAGUUCAACAACUGUCAUCCCCUUUCAGGUAGUGGAUGAAGACUUGUUCCCAGGGGAUCACGUCGUUGGUGUUCUUCCUAUUGACGCUAGUGUGAACAAUUACGUUUUUGCUGAUGGAACUGAAUUCAAAAGGCCCGUGGGCGUCAUCAGGAGCCUGCACUAUGAAGACCGGACGGCUUGCGUGUCAUGGUUCAAUGAGGCUAGGGAGGUCGAGUGUGAGGAUACCGUGACUGUGUAUGCCCUGAAAAAAGACUCUUCUUACCUACCUGUUGACUAUGGUGAUAUUGUCAUUCGCCUCCUGCCGUCAGGAUCAACCAGCGGUGAAAUCGCACCGUUGCUACAGGGCAACAAGAAAAAGAGUGUUGUUGCAGCCGAUCUUUCAUGGGUGGGGCAUGUUGUUGACCUACUCAAUGAUGGGCACGUCCAAGUCAAGUGGGGCGAUGGUAGCAUGUCAAUGGUAUUGCCCCAUGAGAUUGUUGUCGUCGAGGAGGUGCAUUAUUCAGAUCUGUUGGAUGAAAUGGACAACUGGGUAGUGGUCGACAACAUUGUUGAUGCACCUGAAGAACUGGCUACGGCUAACACGGACCAUGAUCUAGGGAAUCCAACAGAUGAUAGCGGUGUCGAAGGUGACCACCCGGCAAUGAAGAGGAUAAGCCUUUUGGGUCUUGCAACCCAGUCUUUGCUCCAAAUGACCGACGGCGUGGUGGCUCGGUGUAAGGGAUACAUGCCAUUGUCGUCAUCAACAAGCUCGGAGUUACCUGUACCCACAUACGAUGAAAGCACUAGUGGUGAUACAGCAGAGACCAUCGAUGCUGCCAUGACAAGGAACAUUGUGGAUGUGAACGGCCAUGAUUUGGCUGAGGAGGGGGCGAAGGCUGACAACUAG
rnacentral:rRNA from 1 species